GCGUCGGUGGUGCAACGGUAUAGCACGUGCUCCUGGAAAGAGUUGGGUCUGGGUUCAAAUCCAGGCUCACGCA